GAGAAGAGCGAAGGAGCCCCCUGCUGGCCAGAUGCGGCAGGCGCGGCGACCCGCGCCCUGGUCCCUACGCCCCGCGGGUGCGGCCCAGCCCCGACCCACCUCCACCCUCCCUGCGCCCCCGGCGCUGGGCGCCCGUGAAAGGAAGCAGAAAACAAAACAAAAACAAACAAAGCGCCAAAACCCACUCUCACUUCAUCUCCUGCUCAAAGGGAAUGAACAGAAUAUGAGUGAUGAAUAUACUAAAAUAGGACUUACAAUAACCGGACUCAUUUUCCUAAAUUUAGAUUGUCCUACACAUCUCCUGGGUGGAAGCAGUUAAUUUCUGGCAGCCAUUAUUUUGCUGUACAUCUGGAGGUGUGGCUUUUUCAGCUCAUUACAGUCCUUCCUUCCCCUGAGUUGGGAACUUGAAUAAUUUCUUUCCUCAUUUAUAUUAUGGCCUGGAAGGCUAGUGAGUGGCCAUCAUUCCUCAACAACUCAGCAGCCUGCAAAUCAAAAUCCUGCUUCUGAGAAGAGUUGCCAGUGCCAUGUUUAAAAGACCCAUCUUAACAGGAAAAGUUACAAAGCCAAUUGUCUUUCUGUAUACCUGAGGGAUUUGUUCCAGGACGCUCCUUGUAUACAAAAUCUCAAGUUCCACAGUCAGCCCUGUAGAACCCGUGUGUAUGAAAAAUGUGGCCCUCGGUAUACUCGGGUUUGACAUCCCUUAUUUCUGAAGAAAACAACCAUCAACCAUGCUUUUGCCCAGCAAGCUUAACAACACAACCCUUGGCAUCCAAUCCCUGAUCUACCAUUUGGCCUUGGGCUCUUCAUGGCAGAGAUGCUGAAAGACAACACAUUCCAAACUAAAAGCUGGCUUCCUCAGCUAAGGCAAGUGUUAUCCCCGAGGUCAAGGACUGUCGGAAUCAAUAGCACACCAUUCUAUAUGGUAAAAUUUAAAUGAUAAACAAAAUUAAUAAAUCCCUUCAAGACUGAUGAAGAAAAAGUUGAGAGGAGACACAGAAGCUAAUAUUAGUAAUGAUAGAGGGACAUCACUACCUAAGAUCAUUAGAGGAUAUUAUGAACAACUAUGUAAAAGUAAAUAUAUAGUAUUUGGUAAAGUGGACAGACAUCUGAUUCUGGUCAAAGGAUCAGGAUUUACUCUCUCACCUUAAAAAAACUGGAAAAUCAGACAAAAUCAGUAAAAUGAUAAUUUGCAGUAAUUAAAAAGCAGACCACACCAUACCAUGAUUUUUUUUAAUUUUUUUUUUUAAAUUUCAGCAUAU